rnacentral:rRNA from 1 species
CCUACGGGAGGCAGCAGUGGGGAAUAUUGCACAAUGGAGGAAACCCUGAUGCAGCGACGCCGCGUGCGUGAAGACGGAUCUCGGUACGGAAAGCUGUAUCAGCACGGAAGAUAAUGACGGUACCUGACCAUGUAGCCCAGGCUAACUACGUGCCAGCAGCCGAGGUAAUACGUAGGGGGCAAGCGUUAUCCGGAUUUACUGGGUGUAAAGGGGGCGUAGUCGGCUGCACAAGUCAGAAGUGAAAUCCCGGGGCUUAACCCCGGAACUGCUUGGGAUACUGUGCGGCUGGAGUGCAGGAGGGGUAGGCGGAAUGUCUGGUGUAGCGGUGAAAUGCGUAGAUAUUAGGAGGAACACCGAUUGCGAAGGCAGCUUAC